rnacentral:tRNA from 1 species
GGAUGUAUAGCUCAGCGGCAUAGUGUGUGUUUAGCUUGCACAAGAUAGUGGGUUCAAUCCCCAGUACCUCCA